GGGCCCGCACAAGCGGUGGAGCAUGUGGUUUAAUUCGAUGAUACGCGAGGAACCUUACCAAGGCUUAAAUGUAGAGGGACAGGCGGCGAAAGUUGCCCUUCUUCGGACUCUCUACAAGGUGCUGCAUGGUUGUCGUCAGCUCGUGCCGUGAGGUGUCGGGUUAAGUCCCAUAACGAGCGCAACCCCUAUCUUUAGUUGCCAGCGGUUCGGCCGGGGACUCUAAAGAAACUGCCCGCGCAAGCGGUGAGGAAGGUGGGGAUGACGUCAAAUCAUCACGGCCCUUACGUCUUGGGCUACACACGUGCUACAAUGGUAGUGACAAUGGGCAGCCACUCCGCGAGGGGAGCGGA
rnacentral:rRNA from 1 species